UGGCGGCAGGCUUAACACAUGCAAGUCGAGCGGUAACAUUUCUAGCUUGCUAGAAGAUGACGAGCGGCGGACGGGUGAGUAAUGCUUGGGAAACUGCCUGGAAGUGGGGGACAACAGUUGGAAACGACUGCUAAUACCGCAUAAUGUCUUCGGACCAAAGGAGGGGCUCUUCGGACCUUUCGCUUUCAGAUGUGCCCAAGUGGGAUUAGCUAGAUGGUGGGGUAAUGGCCUACCAUGGCGACGAUCCCUAGCUGGUUUGAGAGGAUGAUCAGCCACACUGGGACUGAGACACGGCCCAGACUCCUACGGGAGGCAGCAGUGGGGAAUAUUGCACAAUGGGCGCAAGCCUGAUGCAGCCAUGCCGCGUGUGUGAAGAAGGCCUUCGGGUUGUAAAGCACUUUCAGUUGUGAGGAAGGUUGUGUGGUUAAUACCCAUAUAAUUUGACGUUAGCAACAGAAGAAGCACCGGCUAACUCCGUGCCAGCAG
rnacentral:rRNA from 1 species